rnacentral:rRNA from 1 species
CCUUUUCGGCCAAAGAGAUAGUGAUCCUAAUCAUGCUCACGAGAAAACCCUCUAAGUUAUGACUAUUACAACCCGCACCGUAAACCGACACAGGUAGUCGAGAAGAGUAUUCUAAGGCGCUCGGGUGAGCCACGGAGAAGGAACUAGGCAAAUUGUAGCUGUAACUUCGGGAUAAAGCUAUCCCCCGCGAGGGGGAUUCAAUGAAAUGGUUCAACCAACUGUUUAGCAAAAACACAGGGCCCUGCAAAUUCGAAAGAAGACGUAUAGAGCCUGAUACCUGCCCGGUGCUGGAAGGUUAAGGAAGCUUGUCAGGGGUAACCCAAAGCUUGCGACCGAAGCCCCAGUAAACGGCGGCCGUAACUAUAACGGUCCUAAGGUAGCGAAAUUCCUUGUCGGGUAAGUUCCGACCUGCACGAAUGGUCUAAUGAGUUGAACACUGUCUCCUCCGUGAGCCCGGUGAAAUUGUAGUAUCGGUGAAGAUGCCGGUUACCCGCCACGGGACGAAAAGACCCCGUGAACCUUCACUACAACUUUACAUUGAUUUUGAGUAACAGAUGUGUAGCAUAGUUGGGAGACUUUGAAGCAGUGGCGCCAGCCAUUGUGGAGUCAACGUUGAAAUACCAACCUUCUGUUACUUAGAGUCUAAUCCCCGCAAGGGGAGACAUUGUAUGGUGGGUAGUUUGACUGGGGUGGUCGCCUCCUAAAGUGUAACGGAGGCUCGCAAAGGUACCCUCAGUACGGUUGGUAAUCGUACGUAGAGCGCAUUAGUAAAAGGGUGCUUGACUGUGAGGCUUACCAGCCGAGCAGGUGCGAAAGCAGGCUAAAGUGAUCCGGUGGUUUCCGAAUGGAAGGGCCAUCGCUCAAAGGAUAAAAGGUACUCCCGGGAUAACAGGCUGAUCUCCCCCAAGAGCUCAUAUCGACGGGGAGGUUUGGCACCUCGAUGUCGGUUCGUCACAUCCUGGGGCUGGAGAAGGUCCCAAGGGUUCGGCUGUUCGCCGAUUAAAGUGGUACGUGAACUGGGUUCAGAACGUCGCAAGACAGUUCGGUCUCUAUCUGUGGUGGGCGUUAGUAAAUUGCGAGGACAUGCUCUUAGUACGAGAGGACCGGAGCGUAUGUACCGCUGGUGUAUCUGUUGUGCCGCCAGGCGCAGUGCAGAGUAGCUAUGUACAGCCAGGAUAAGCGCUGAAAGCAUCUAAGCGCGAAACCUUCCUCAAGAUGAGUUUACUUUUAAGUGCCGUCAAAGACUAUGACGUUGAUAGGCUAUAGGUGUAAAGGUGGUAACAUCAAAGCCGAGUAGUACUAAUUGCACGUAAGCUUUAAUG